rnacentral:misc_RNA from 1 species
AAUUCAUCAACUGCUUAAUUGCGGUUGGAUAUGGGCCUUUUGAGACCUGACGGUCCCAAUGGCCUGAAAUUUAAUGUUACGCUUCCUUGAACCCAACGGUUCUUGAGCACACGCAUGAAUGAGGCAACUCACAAGUACGUUUGUUCUUAUGAAUUGUGGGUUGUACCGGAGUGGGUGACUCAACUAUUACCCAGGGGAGGCGACGUCAGUCAUCAGUCUUCUCUGAAC